GGGCACUUAGCUCAGUGGCUAGAGCACCUCGCUUACACCGAGGGGGUCGGGGGUUCGAAACCCUCAGUGCCCA
rnacentral:tRNA from 1 species